CUUGUUUCUAAUUCAUUCUGCUAUCUGCUUCUGUUUUACAGGAGUGCCUCUAUUUCGCUCAGUGUCCAUUUUUUUGCCUCUGAAGAAUUCUACUCAGUUUUGUCGGAUUGUCCUUCACUUCAUUGCAUUUGCAUUCCCAAUCACUUGUUUUCCAUUCGGGUUCUUUGAUGACACUUGCCACCAACUUCCAUCACUUGCUUCAGGAUUGAACUGAAAACCAUCCUCUGCAAGAGUCCUUUUCUGGUCCACCUGAACUCCCUGUCCACUUGAGGCAUCUCCUCUAAGUCUGCCUUCUUUCUAUUCUCCUUAGGUAAGAAGAGGAGCAAGAACUUCCUUCCUCUGCUCACUUGUCAUCCAUCUCUUGCUGUGGAAAGCUGCUUGAGACUGAUGGUUCUGCUUCAGUGCAAGACAACUUACACCUCCUACUAACAGACUUACUCCUGCUGGUAAAAGAGCCUCUGUGGGGAGUCCCUGAUUCAUGUGAAGAAGAGGCCUUUCCUUUGACCUCAGGCCUUCCAUCUCCUCCUGCACCUAUCCCUUGAGGGUAGACCCAAGUCAGUAGGGAGCGGGACCUCCAACUCCUGCUGUACCACCUUGUGACAUCCAGUUUUUCACAGAAGCAAAGUAGUGAAAUGGGGCCUCCCAUCUGACCAUCUGACUGCGUGCCUUCUAGUUGCUGCUGUACUUGUCUUUUGCCUGAUCUUCAGCCUCCUCUGGGAAGAGGAGUAGUGCCUUCAAUAAUGAACCUUCCUCCUCCUGGUCAUACUUUACAAAUCCCAGUGAUUCUGAAUCCCUGUAGGCCAUCACCCAAGCCACAUACUCCAUCUCCCACUACCAGGUUCCUUGUUUCCAUCCCUCUAAACCCUCCCACCCCAAAGUCACCACCAAAUACUACCCCUUCUACUCCAUCAUCCAGAAUGCCUGUUCCAUAGACAGCAAACUUCCAUUCAUCCACAAUCUCUAGCCAUCUUCUCGCCAUCACUGAAACCUGGCUGCCCCAUGAUGGCACAACAUCCUUGGCCAGUCUUUCAAGUAUUGGCUGUACUUUUACUCAUUCCCCUUGAUUUACUGGUCGAGGCAAAGGAGUUGGAGUACCCCAUUGCUGUUUCUGGGUUCUCCCUUCCUCCAUUCCUCAGAAACCUCUCCUGUGAGGGUCAUGCACUUCAUCCCUUCCACCCAAACACAAUCCUGGUAGCUGUUGUCUAUAUACCUCCAGGUAACUCCACUUCUUUCUUCAAUGAAUUCAGUUACGUCUUGCAAUUUGUCUCGCCUCCCAAAGUCCUGUUUUCAGGUUAGUGGACUUCAGCGUACCUCCUAAUUUUUGCUCAAAACACCCAAACCAUUUGCUUCCUCCAUUGACUCAUUCCCCUCACUCCUGAAUCACUUAGCCACCCAAAAAGAUGGUCAUACCUUUAUCACCCACAGAUAUUUAGUAAUUCUAAUAUCUUCUAAUUUGACAUAAUCCAUUCUUUUUUUCUCUUCUCUCUUUCCUUUUCAAAACCUACUUUUCAUUCCCACCAAUCUCUUAGCCUCUCACUUCUUUUUAAAGCUAUCUCCACUACACUAAUCUGAUAUCUUGGUUAAUCAAUAGAACUUUACACUGUCCUUUGGAAUCAGUCCCCACACCAUCAUUUCACUGAUUGUCUGAUUCCUGCUUAGCCACUUUUGGCUUACUCCCACCAUUUGCCACCUUCUGAUUUUACACACACUCACACAGGUGAACAAAGGUAGAGAUAAACACAACAGACCUGGGUCUACUACAAACUUGUUACCCAGUUUCUUUAUAUAACAUCUAGUGUACAGAAUCAGAAUAGACAGGGGGGACUGUUGGGAGCACUAUCUUGUGGUUGACUCAGACAUUAUACUCUUCCUGUUCAAUCACAUGGACAGAACAUAGUAUUAGACUUUGGCUCAUUUAAAAUCUAGAUUUGCUGGAUUGUAACUAGCACCUAACUCCUAUUUAACCAAUGUAAAGAUUGGCAGAAUGGUGCAGAAAGGAAUGAUGGAUUGAAGUAAGUGAUGAAUUCUUUCUGUAUCAAUAUAAAUUCAGACUAAAUUAUCCCCAUUAAAAGUGCCCAUUACAUUCUUAAACCCUAUAAAAGGUCAUCUGACAUUGGAUUUAGACUCAAUCACAGUGGAGAUAGUAUUGAGCGGAUUUCAGCCAAAAAUAUAGCCGUUGCCCAUCUACAAGAACAAAUAAUUGGAGGAAAUAAAUACGAGGGACAUAAAUGUUCUUUUUAAUAGUGUUUCUUAAGUUGGUAUUAAAAUUAGAAAAUAAAAAACACAAGUUUGACUUAUGCUAACACUUAACUAGUGUUAAAUUGAGCAUGCAGUUAAAUGCUAAUCCAGGAAUGAGGGCUUAUCAAAAUUGUUAACCUUGGAGUAUUCAAAAAUCAUAGUAGGUGAGGCUUACAGUGGUGCUGUAAUCAUAGCCAGUAGUCAAACUAGGAUUCCAAUCUGGUGCUUUUGAUUCCAGUUCCAGUGAUCUUACCACUGGACCACAUUCUCCAUCUUCCCCCAUCUGUGGCAAUUCAUUCUGAACCAAUCCAUUUCUGUCUGUCUGUCUCAGGCUCUUCCCCCUUUCUCUCUCCCUCCCUCUUCCUCUCCUUUCAGUCACUGCCAAACUUUUCCAAUGUAUGAUCUGUAUCUACUGUCUCAAAUUCCCUUUCCCCCCACCCAUUCCUUAGAUCACUCAGUGGGUCUUCAGGCUCAUAGUCAAAGAUUUAGAUCUGAAAUGGACCUUGGAACUCAUCUGGUUCAAUCCCCUCAUUUGACAGAGGCCAAGGGAAAUGAAGUGACUUGUAUGAGAUAAUGCAGCUUGUAAGUGCCUGAAGCAGGAUUUGACAUCAGGUCUUCCUGCCUCAAAGAUCAGGGGUGUAGCCAUGAAAUCAUACUGUCUCCUAUCCCCUCAUCUUACUUGGUUUCUCUCAUCUCUAAGUUCUAAGAUAAGAAGUGUAAUGGAGCAAUUUAUUUUUGAAAUUGUAAAAGAAAAAUUAUUUUCCCCAAAUACAGUGUUCCUUGUGAUAAGCAUUGAAUAUAUAAUUGUUGAGCUGACUUGUUUUUUGGUUUUUUUUGUUUUUGUUUUUGUUUUGCUUUCUGCCUGAUAUGUGAUAGUCUAUGCUGAAUGAGUGAAUUCCUUAUCGUUUCUCUGUCCUUUGUUGAAAUGAGAGUUUUAAAAGGAUUUCUGUGACAGCUUACUCUAUGACAAAUAUUAAAAAGUUAAAUAAGAGUCGUCAUUUCUGCACCAAAGAUAACGGAAAGGUUCUGUAGGUAUUGUGUCAUAUAAACAAAUGUUUAUGCUAUGCUGAACCCAUGUAUGAGAAGUCAUAGCUUAGCUUAAAAGGAGAUCUUGGAAUACACUAGGGAGGGGGAGGGUGUGUUCCUUUUGAGAGUUAGAAAUGAUAAUUAAAACUAUAUGAAUAUGG